rnacentral:rRNA from 1 species
GUUGAGCGGAGAUAUAUGGAGCUUGCUUUAUAUAACUUAGCAGCGAACGGGUGUAGUAACACGUAGAUAAUCUAUCCUAUACUGGGGGAUAGCCCGAUGAAAGUUGGAUUAAUACCGCAUAUAGCUAUAUAGUUGCAUGAUUAUGUAGUGAAAGAUUUAUUGGUAUAGGAGGAGUCUGCGGCACAUUAGCUAGUAGGUGAGGUAAAGGCUUACCUAGGCGACGAUGUGUAGCCGGUCUGAGAGGAUGAACGGCCACAAUGGAACUGAGACACGGUCCAUACUCCUACGGGAGGCAGCAGUGGGGAAUAUUGCACAAUGGGGGAAACCCUGAUGCAGCAACGCCGCGUGAGUGAAGAAGGUUUUCGGAUUGUAAAGCUCUGUUAGCAGGGAAGAGGAAGGACGGUACCUGCAGAGGAAGCCACGGCUAACUACGUGCCAGCAGCCGCGGUAAUACGUAGGUGGCAAGCGUUGUUCGGAAUAACUGGGCGUAAAGGAUGCGUAGGCGGUUAAACAAGUUAUAUGUUAAAUAUAUAGGCUUAACCUGUAGAAAGCAUAUAAAACUGUUUAACUAGAGUGCAGGAGAGGUAAGUGGAAUUCCUAGUGUAGCGGUGAAAUGCGUAGAGAUUAGGAAGAACACCAGUGGCGAAGGCGACUUACUGGACUGUAACUGACGCUGAGGCAUGAGAGCAUGGGGAGCAAACAGGAUUAGAUACCCUGGUAGUCCAUGCUGUAAACGAUGGGUACUAG